rnacentral:miRNA from 1 species
CAUGACUGACCUUAGCCACUCGGAC